rnacentral:rRNA from 1 species
ACUCCUACGGGAGGCAGCAGUGGGAAUGAUUGGACAAUGGGGGAAACCCUAGAUCCAGCCAUGCCGCGUGUGUGAAAGAAGGGCCUUCGGGUUGUAAAAGCACUUUCAGUGGGGAGGAAAGGUUGAUGGUUAAUACCUAUCAGCUGUGACGUUACCCACAGAAGAAGCACCGGCUAACUCCGUGCCAGCAGCCGCGGUAAUACGGAGGGUGCAAGCGUUAAUCGGAAUUACUGGGCGUAAAGCGUGCGCAGGCGGUCUGUUAAGCGAGAUGUGAAAGCCCGGCUCA